GAGUUAAAGACUUCUCGUGACCAUUCUCUCUCUUCCCAUUCCAAAACCCUUAUCCCAAAAUUCAUUCCUGUCACCGACUUCCCCCAAAUCCGUCACCGUCGAUCGACUUCCCCAACUCUGGCUCCCCGUCACCGCCGACCGAUUUCCUCCAUCAACGCAGUAAAGACACCGACUCCUCCCCCAACUCCGGCUCCCCGUCACCGUCGACCGACCUCCUCCAUCAAGCCAUCAAGCCACUGACUACUCCCCAAACUCCGGCUCCAAGUCACCGCCAACCGACUUCCUCCAUCAAGCCAUCAAGCUACCGACCUCUCCCCCAACUCCGGCUCCCUAUCACUACCGACCGCGGUCGAUCUCCCUCGAGCUCUCUCCCCCAACUCAGAUUAGUUGACGCUCAUUUCAAGUAAGUUCAUAUCUCGAUCUCGAUAUUUUUUUAUCCAAAUUGAUGGUAAAUCAGCAGUCACCUCUUUCUUCCUCCCUAUACAAUUAUCAAAAGAGGAUCCUUGUAGAGUUUUCUCUAGAUCAAACAAGGUACGUACAUAAGUUUUCUAGUUGCUUAUGCUAUAAUUUUCAUUACGCUGCUCGCUGUUGUGUUUGAGUUCCUGUUGCUACAUAUAAAAGUGGCUAAUAGACACGCUGGAAUUUUCACCAGGGAGUUUGUCCUCAGAUGUGUCCUGAUUGUGGAAUUUUCUGAAUUGGUUACUGAAGUUCUUGUUCCGUAAUGAGGUUAUCCAUGGCUAAAAAAAGUUUUUAUGUUGUGAAGAGAUGUCGACGAUGUGGUAUUUUUUUAUAAUUGGGAGGAAUGUAAAUCUCAGGUAGAUAAGUUCCCAAAUGCCUCCUACAGAGAGUAUGCAACGUACGAAGAGGCUUUGAUUGAAUGGGAGAAGCACACACUCGCUCGUGAUUCAGCAUCCAGCUCGAGGCAUGUCCAAACAUCUGUUUAUGCUCAAGAACAAAGAUAUCCAGUGAGGCAUAAUCUGGAUGAGGACAAGGAAAAACUUGGGGAAACUUCCAUUUUCUCCAUCUAUGCUUUUGUAUUAGGUUCAUUGUUUACAAUAUUAGUGUUUCUAGUAUGUAUCGUUGCGAUAUUUGUUGGUUUCUCCAUUGCAAAUAACAUGUGAUGUAAUUUGUGGCUGAGCUUGUAUUGGUUGGAUAAACUUGCAUAAUUUGGGGAAUCAGAUUGUAAUUCACUGUAGUCAAAUGUACAAUGCCAGUGUAAUAAGAAUUUUUUUACCAUUGUAAUCAUGCAUUAAUAUGAAACACUACAAUCA